CCUACGGGUGGCAGCAGUGGGGAAUAUUGCACAAUGGGCGAAAGCCUGAUGCAGCAACGCCGCGUGAGCGAUGAAGGCCUUCGGGUCGUAAAGCUCUGUCCUCAAGGAAGAUAAUGAAGGUACUUGAGGAGGAAGCCCCGGCUAACUAUGUGCCAGCAGCCGCGGUAAUACGUAGGGGGCUUGCGUUAACCGGAAUUACUGGGCGUAAUGGGUGAGUAGGUGGUUUCUUAAGUAGGAGGUGAAAGGCUACGGCUCAACCGUAGUAAGCGUUUUAAACUGGGAAACUUGAGUGCAGGAGAGGAGAGUGGAAUUCCUAGUGUAGCGGUGAAAUGCGUAGAUAUUAGGAGGAACACCAGUUGCGAAGGCGGCUCUCUGGACUGUAACUGACACUGAGGCACGAAAGCGUGGGGAGCAAACAGGAUUAGAUACCCUUGUAGUC
rnacentral:rRNA from 1 species